rnacentral:lncRNA from 1 species
CACUUCCUUUCUGUACCUAAACUGAUUACAAAUAUUUUAAAUCCAGAUAAAGCAGAUUAUGCUGGUGGAGAACCUUCCCGUGUUUCAGCCAUUGGGGAAUUUGCUUAUGUGAAGUGCUACAGUCCCACUUUUUGUGAGGGCAGGUUACCCUUGAGCAUAACAAACUAUGAGGAACAAACCUCUAAUGGAAGUCCAAGGCAAACUAAACCAUCAGGGAGAUUAUUACAAGAGUUGCUGAUGAUGGCAGCUGAAACUUCAUAUGAUUCAGCCCAGUCCCAGGAUUCUCAAGUGUCUCAAGAUUCACCAGUGCUUGCUGCUGAAGUUGGAGAGGGAGUUAAAACAUAUUCUGGACCAUCAAUCACACUUGAUAAUACGGAAGUACUAGUUUCAGAGGCUUUCAUGCAAGGAAUACCCUGUGAUUUAACUUCAACAAUUUCCACUGGGAGCUUUUCAACUAGUGAAACAUUGGAUGCAAGCCCUGUUGGCCCUGGUAAGUGUUUGGGCUUUGUUGUUGUUCUUGUAAAAGGAAAAUUGUGUUUUCUAUUUAUUUUAUGGC